CCUUUCUUCCCUCUCCCCACCAGAAAACCCCAAACUCCACCUACCAAAAAAAAAGGGUUAUGUAUUUCUUUGGAGUAUAAAGUGUUUCAGCUUCUAUGUGUAUCUAUAAAGCCUGAAGAGCAGGAGGAAUUACAGAAAGCUGAUUGUUUAUUGACUGGUAGGCUGGGGAUAUUUUUAAAAUCCUCCCACCAACCUGCCAAAUCACAGGAUGGAGUUACUCAGUGUCUCCUUUCCAUUGAAUGUUUUGCCACAUGCAAACUUUCCUCUUCUGUCUCAGUGUACUGUGUUUUGCUAGGCUUACUUGCAAAGGUUAAAAGAAUGGAGUGUACUGGAGUCAGGAAAGCUCAGUGUCUGUUGGAGGUGAAGUCACCAGCAUUGCAUUUCUCCACCAGUCACAACUGAUAAGUUCAAAACCACAUCAGGUAAUGGAUGGCCAUAGUGGUUAAAAAUCCAACAAUUCUUCAUUGGAAGGGAGACAACUACUAAGAAUAGAAAGUACUAUCUCUGCCAUGAUAAAUCACCCCCAGGAAAACCAGCUUAUCCCAGCUCAGGGUGGCCACAAAACCAACAUUCCACAACCAGAACAGCAGAACUGGCAUCAGCCUGUUUCAGCUGCUUCCCCCAAUGCUUGAAGGGAAGCAAGCUGCACUGAAUGCCUGCUUGAAGGAUGGGCAGAGCUGAGGGUCAGCACCAACUAGCCAUGGAAAUGUAAAAUGCCAACCUGAGAGGUUAGGAAGGAACCAGACCUGGGCCUCACACCACUAAAGGGCCUGUUGUGUGAACUCCCUGAAAGGAGCCUUUGUUUCCAUAGGCAACAGAACUGCUGUGGCAAUAUGGAUCAAACACAUCCGGAUUUACUUUUAUGCUUCUGAGGCAGGUUUCCAGAGGUGCAAGCCACAGACACCUGGUACACUCUGCUGAUUCAGUGCAAGUGGAGGCUAAUCCUGAGUUAAGUACACAAAGCUUUACAGAUGUUGCAGUGAGAAUUUUCUGAUUGAUUUUAAUGGUAUCCACUGUCCACUGUCACAUUUCUGAAACCACUGUUACCCUGCAAAUAAUCAAACCCAUGGAGUUUCUGUCUCUGUGAUAGUAGAUUGAGACUCACAAAAUAUAUUUGUACUGCUGCUAAAAAUGCUCUUAGUGCUUACUUAUGCAUCUCAAUGAAAAGUAAGUGCUCACCCUGUAGGCAGAAGUUUUUGAGAGAGUUCAGGGCAUGGAAACUCUGCUGCCUCCCUCUUACAGGGUGGAUCUGUGCAGUGACCAACUCGUGCCCCUGCAGAGGUGGCACUGGCGUCUCAGGUCCCCUGUGCUGAACGAGGCUCCUCCCUGCUGUCCCAGGAGCCCCAGACUGUCCCUUCCUGGCCUUCCAGGGCUUCUCCUUCGGCAUUCUGCUUCUGCGGGAGUAACUUCCCUUCAGAAAGGGAACAUGGAACAGCCUUUUGGUCUGUGACUUUCUCUGUCAUAAGAGGUCAAGUACUGAAUAUUUUUAUCUCAGCUGCUCUUGUCAUAGAAAUACUCCUUGAAUUCAUAUAAAUGCCCUGUUUAUUUGUUCUGAUUAAGGCUACUGCAUAAAUUAAUUAUUGAGAGAAAAGUUAAAAAUGUCAU